rnacentral:misc_RNA from 1 species
GAAAUGCGAUAACUAGUGUGAAUUGCAGAAUUCCGUGAAUCAUCGAGUCUUUGAACGCACAUUGCGCCCCCUGGUAUUCCGGGGGGCAUGCCUGUCCGAGCGUCAUUGCUGCCCAUCAAGCACGGCUUGUGUGUUGGGUCGUCGUCCCCUCUCCGGGGGGGACGGGCCCCAAAGGCAGCGGCGGCACCGCGUCCGAUCAGCCAGAGCGUAUGGGGACUCUCUCUCUUGUCACACGCCCGCGGCGCGGACCGACGCCUGUCGACCUUUAUUCAUCUUCUCUCGGUUGACCUCGGAUCAGGUAGGGAUACCCGCUGAACUUAAGC